CUGCAAUGCAUGAGACAGGGUGCUCAGGGCUGGUGCACUGGGAUGACCCUGGGGGAUGGAGUGGGGAGAAGGUGGGAGGGGCGUUCAGGACAGGGAACACAUGUACACCCAUGGCUGUCUCAUGUGAAUGUAUGGCAAAACCACCACAAUAUUGUAAAGUAGCCUCCAAUUAAAAUUUAAAAAAGAAUUCACACACAAAAAGAAUUUCUCUGAACCUGUUUAUCUUAAAAAAAAAAAAUAAAGAAAGAAAGAAGGAAGCUGGGAUAGCUAGAUAUCUUCUGCUACUUCCAGCUCUAAAAUCUAAAGUUUCUCUCCAGACCCAAACAAGCCUGAGAUGAAAAUUUUAAACAGAUUUUUGAAGAGCAAAUCUUGAAGUAAGGAUACCUGUUUCCCAGUCCACACUCCCCCUUCCUCAAUGAAUAUUUGUUGGGAAAUAUUCAAAGGUAUAUAGGACGCACUGGAUAUUUCACAGUUCUUGUCCUUAGCACAGCUUUGUCACUCACCCACUCUGAGGCGGGUGGUGUCACGUCAGCGGCAUGGCAUCCCUUUAACCCCACCUAGAAGAGCCUCUCUUUUCUCAGUACCUUUGAAGUGACGCAUCAAGCACAUGAAGCUUCCUACCUCCCCAUGGAAUGACCACAAGCUUUCUUCAGGAUGUGUUAAAUGAGUCUGUGUUCUCUCAACUGAGGGGCCCUAGGCAGCUCAGUGCACACUCAGGACUUCAAGAGCUAGAGACCUUUUUUUCUGCCAGAACGUUCUUAUAUCAUCAAGUAACACUGGUGUAGAAUGAGUCAGGAAUUCACACACACACACACACACACACACUUCUGAGGAAGCCUUCCACAACUCCAAUUUCGCGGAAGGAAGAUAAGCACAGAGGGCACACAAGCACGCAAUCUCCCAGAAAACCGGGUAUUUUUUCUAAGGACUAGGCGACAGGACUUGCACCCGAAGAAACGCCGGACAGAUCAACAACCCCUCCUCUGGCUCCGGACGCUCGGAGUGCCCAGUCCCUCUCGGCACGGGCCAC
ensembl:lncRNA